rnacentral:rRNA from 1 species
GACGAACGCUGGCGGCAUGCCUAAUACAUGCAAGUCGAGCGAACAGAUGAAGUGCUUGCACUUCUGACGUUAGCGGCGAACGGGUGAGUAACACGUAAGGAAUCUACCUAUAAGCGGGGGAUAACAUUCGGAAACGGGUGCUAAUACCGCAUAAUAUCUUCUUCCGCAUGGAAGAAGAUUGAAAGACGGCUCUGCUGUCACUUAUAGAUGACCUUGCGGUGCAUUAGUUAGUUGGUGGGGUAACGGCCUACCAAGACGAUGAUGCAUAGCCGACCGGAGGGGGUGAUCGGCCACAUGGGGACUGAGACACGGCCCAAACUCCGACGGGAGGCAGCAGUAGGGAAUCUUCCGCAAUGGGCGAAAGCCUGACGGAGCAAUGCCGCGUGAGUGAAGAAGGCCUUCGGGUCGUAAAACUCUGUUAUAAGAGAAGAACAAAUUGUAGAGUAACUGCUACAGUCUUGACGGUAUCUUAUCAGAAAGCCACGGCUAACUACGUGCCAGCCGCCGCAGUAA